CCUCUUCGUUCAUUCGUGCUUUGCCGUUGCAAGAGGUCGGACGUAUUUCGCGGUGCGUCGCCCACAAGAGAGCAGAGAAAGAAAAAACGAAGCCGCCUGUUUGAGCACUCCAUUUUGAAUUUUUCACCACGUUGGCUGGUGCGGUGCGUGGAAAAAGUGAGAUUUCUUCGCCGGAAACGCUCGGAAAAGUGUGUCAAAUUGCUACAAAGUGAGCUUGCACCUGGAGUAAACAGCGAUGGUCGGGUCGAGAGUGUACGUCGGCGGACUGCCGUACGGUGUCCGCGAGCGCGACCUGGAGCGCUUCUUCAAGGGCUACGGAAGGACGCGCGACAUUCUGAUCAAGAACGGAUACGGGUUUGUGGAAUUUGAAGACUACCGCGACGCAGACGACGCCGUCUACGAACUCAACGGGAAAGAGCUGCUAGGGGAACGAGUGGUCGUUGAACCUGCCCGCGGGACGGCACGUGGGCCCGGCGGCCGGCGCGAGUAUGACCGCGGAGGCGAUCGGUACGGCGAUCGCGGACGGGGCGGCGGUGGCCGCUAUGACAAGAACAGCUCCCGCUACGGACCACCCCUGCGGACCGAGUACCGCCUGAUUGUGGAGAAUCUGUCGUCGCGCGUCAGCUGGCAGGCAACCCUCCUUUCAAAAACGUGAGGUUUGCAGAGUAACACACACUGACAGAGAGAGAGAGAGAUAAAGGGAGAUUGUCGCUCAAACACUAAACCGGAAGACCACCCUGGGCCAGCACGGAUUGUGAUGAGCGCGCGAUCAUCUGAGCAAUCGAUGGAUGAUGAUGUGCGAAAAGACGAACUUCCACCACCCGCACCCCCCCAGACAAGACGCGGAACAAGUUUCUUCCCCCCCUCUGGUUGUCCGUUUCCGGGCGUGGCGUUGCCGAAAUCCGUCAUCCGAUGGGGUGGUCAACCUGGAAGGCUCGAUCCCAAAGGUCGUCGUUGGCCGAGGACCCCGCCACUGCAGAGCGCUUCACGCCUACCCCGACAGAGAGAGAGGGAGAGAGCACCAAAAAGUACUCACCUUUUUACACACACUCACACUCAUACACUUACAAGUUCGUGCUUCUCCGCGCUUCGGGAUGGGUCCAUCGAAGCUCGUUGAACAAAGCUGGCUCCCUCGGGAAACUGUUUUGUUGGCGCAAUUUUGAUGUGCCAUCCCUGAAGCGUUGGUACGGGUUUUUUUCCUAGCAGUUACACCGAGAAAGAGACAGAGAGAGAGAGUUUAUCAUUUCUAUUAAUUUUCUGAAUUUUCGAAUCAAAUUUAAAGCUCCAAUCCAUUACUCACACCGAGGUUCCCAUCCGCGAGACCGGAAGAGACGAGGCUUGACUGAAAUCUCGAAAAGGACAAAAUCAAAACAGAGAGAGAGAGAGAGGGAGACACUAUUCAAGGUCGUCACGUGUGUUGAGGUCAUCCCCCCCCAAAUCGAGAGACAGAAUUCUUCCAAUCGUGCGGACCGCUCGACCAAAGCGCGCUGGAGGGGUCACACUUGCUCGUUGGUUUUGUGUGGACCGGUUUGGAACAAGGCCCGGUUCGCGUCCCGUUUUUCCCCCCCUGCAUCGUCGGAUCCGUUUGGUGGAUCGUGCGACGCCCGUUACGUUGACGAUGAUGAUGAUGAUGAUGAUCUGCCCCCCCAUGUGAGAGACAGAGAGCGCGCGAGAAAGCGAGCGAGAAAGAGAGUUUGUGUCCCCGACCCCGCCAAGGACCUGAAGGACUACAUGCGCCAAGCCGGAGAGGUCACCUACGCCGAUGCCCAC
rnacentral:misc_RNA from 1 species